rnacentral:tRNA from 1 species
UGGCUAGUAGCUCAGAUGGCAGAGCGGGGGGCCGUUAACUCCAAGGUCGCAGGUUCGAGUCCUGCCUAGCCAGCAA